rnacentral:rRNA from 1 species
GACGAACGCUGGCGGCGUGCCUAAUACAUGCAAGUCGAGCGAGCUUGCCUAGAUGAUUUUAGUGCUUGCACUAAAUGAAACUAGAUACAAGCGAGCGGCGGACGGGUGAGUAACACGUGGGUAACCUGCCCAAGAGACUGGGAUAACACCUGGAAACAGAUGCUAAUACCGGAUAACAACACUAGACGCAUGUCUAGAGUUUGAAAGAUGGUUCUGCUAUCACUCUUGGAUGGACCUGCGGUGCAUUAGCUAGUUGGUAAGGUAACGGCUUACCAAGGCAAUGAUGCAUAGCCGAGUUGAGAGACUGAUCGGCCACAUUGGGACUGAGACACGGCCCAAACUCCUACGGGAGGUAGCAGUAGGGAAUCUUCCUCAUUGGACGAAAGUCUUAUGGAGCAACGCCGCUUUAUUGAUGAAGGGUUUCGGCUCGAAAAGCUCUGUUGGUAGUGAACAAAGAUAGAGGUAGCAACUGGCCUUUAUUUGACGUUAAUUACUUUGAAAGUCACGGCUAAUCAC